rnacentral:rRNA from 1 species
UACGUAGGUGGCAAGCGUUAUCCGGAUUUAUUGGGCGUAAAGGGAACGCAGGCGGUCUUUUAAGUCUGAUGUGAAAGCCUUCGGCUUAACCGGAGUAGUGCAUUGGAAACUGGGAGACUUGAGUGCAGGAGAGGAGAGUGGAAUUCCUAGUGUAGCGGUGAAAUGCGUAGAUAUUAGGAGGAACACCAGUUGCGAAGGCGGCUCUCUGGACUGUAACUGACACUGAGGCACGAAAGCGUGGGGAGCAAACAGG